UCGAGGAUCUUCGGCAAUGGGCGCAAGCCUGACCGAGCGACGCCGCGUGUGCGACGAAGGCCUUCGGGUUGUAAAGCACUGUCGUGAGGGAGAAAAGGGGCAACCCUUGAUCGACCUCAGGAGGAAGCACGGGCUAAGUUCGUGCCAGCAGCCGCGGUAAGACGAACCGUGCGAACGUUGUUCGGAAUCACUGGGCUUAAAGGGCGCGUAGGCGGGCUCUCAAGUCAGGGGUGAAAGCCCGCGGCUCAACCGCGGAAGCGCCUUUGAUACUGGGGGCCUCGAGGGGGGUAGGGGCGUGCGGAACUUCCGGUGGAGCGGUGAAAUGCGUAGAUAUCGGAAGGAACACCGGUGGCGAAAGCGGCGCGCUGGACCCCUUCUGACGCUGAGGCGCGAAAGCCAGGGGAGCAAACGG
rnacentral:rRNA from 1 species